rfam:Stentor coeruleus isolate WM001 SteCoe_contig_1964, whole genome shotgun sequence.
AGCCUUGUGCUAGGGGCAAUAUCGCAGCAAGUGAAGCUUAGCUGAUGCGCGAUGAUUGCUAGUUGAAAACUAAUCCAAAUCGUGGUCGUUUACCCAAAUGACUCAAUUUCUGGCAGGUCGAAAGACC